rnacentral:rRNA from 1 species
GACGAACGCUGGCGGCGUGCCUAAUACAUGCAAGUCGAGCGAACAGACGAGGAGCUUGCUCCUCUGACGUUAGCGGCGGACGGGUGAGUAACACGUGGAUAACCUACCUAUAAGACUGGGAUAACUUCGGGAAACCGGAGCUAAUACCGGAUAAUAUAUUGAACCGCAUGGUUCAAUAGUGAAAGACGGUUUUGCUGUCACUUAUAGAUGGAUCCGCGCCGCAUUAGCUAGUUGGUAAGGUAACGGCUUACCAAGGCAACGAUGCGUAGCCGACCUGAGAGGGGGAUCGGCCACACUGGAACUGAGACACGGUCCAGACUCCUACGGGAGGCAGCAGUAGGGAAUCUUCCGCAAUGGGCGAAAGCCUGACGGAGCAACGCCGCGUGAGUGAUGAAGGUCUUCGGAUCGUAAAACUCUGUUAUUAGGGAAGAACAAAUGUGUAAGUAACUAUGCACGUCUUGACGGUACCUAAUCAGAAAGCCACGGCUAACUACGUG